GGAAGCUCUGAGCUCUCUCACUCGACCCCACAUUGUGGAUGUUGAAGUUGGAAUUAUCAGUCAGAGUCUUAGUUUUGAUGUCAUCUACCCGCAAAGCCUUUGACGUGGUCCCUCCCCACAUCCUUCUCUCUAAAUUGGAGAGGUGUGGAUUUGAAGGAUGGACUGUUCAGUGGAUUAAGAAUUGGUUGGCUGGUCCCAGCAAAGGGUUGUGAUCAAUGGUUUGUGUCCGGGUGGAGGCCGCUCACAAGCGGUGUCCCUCAGGGGUCGGUCCUGGGACCGGUGCUCUUCAACAUCUUCAUCAGUGACAGACGAUGGCAUCAAGGGCACCUCAGCAAGUUUGCAGAUGGCACCAGGCUGAGCGGUGCAGUUGAUACAUUGGAAGGAAGGGAAGCCAUCCAGAGGGAGCUGGACAGGCUGGAGAAGUGGGCCCAUGAAAACAUGAUGAGGUUCAAUAAGGCCAAGUGCAGGGUGCUACACUGGGUCGGGGCAAUGCCAGGUAUUUAUACAAACUGGGGGAAGAUCUCCUGGAGAGCAGCCCUGCAGAGAAGGACUUGGGGGUCCUGGUGGACGAGAAGCUGGACAUGAGCCAGCAGCGUGAUUGCGGCCUGGAAGGCCAGCUGUGUUCUGGGCUGCAUUAAAGAAGGGGCAGCCAGCAGGAGAGGGAGGUGAUCGUCCUCCAAUUAGAAACUGGGCGAUAGAAACUAGGCGUGCGUGUGAAGAGAGUGAAGGUGGGCACUGAUGCUGGUAUCCAGGAGGUCCCCUGUUCUGCUACUGAGCUGGCCAAAUUCCAGAAGGAUUUUGGUCACACUCGUAGGAAAUCAGAGACAGAGUAUGAAUGGAAAAUGCCACUAACGGGGAGAACAGAUGCUGUUAACUGAAAAGGAAUCCGAGGGGUUUUGGGGACCCAGAAUAUCUUUCACCCUGGCAACCACUGUGCCCUGUGGUCCCUUACUCAAAGAGCUGCUUGCUGGGAUGGCUUCUCCCCAGGACAACUGGCGUUGGUUGGUUUGCUGCACAUUGGUCCUGUGUCCUUAACCACUUCUUUGCACACAGCUUUCCAGAGCUGUGUCAUUAAAAAUAAACCUGUGAUCCACAGACGUUUCAUCUGUGAUGCUUUUGAAGUUGUGUUACAAUGAAUUUCACAUGGUUCCUGUGUUCUACUGGGGAACCUAACUUUAAUUUCAUGCCUCUUUUCCUAGAGAAGCACAGCACAGCUGGUGCACCAUCUCAACUCUUGCUUUCAACCCCCAGGUUCCAGCAGGUCUGACUCCCAGCUCAGCACAUCUCCUGGCUGCUCCUCCUGGAAAUGGGCUCUGGCCACCAGCAGCAGCAGGGGAACUUGUCUGUGCCCAGCUGUCACUCAGGCUGCUGCCUCUUAUUCAUCUCUUGCUCGUCCAUUCAUCUUGUGUGAAAAGAAAAUUCUCCAUCGCUCUGCUCCGUUCUGUUUGCAAGCAAGGCAAAUUUUUCUAUUUUAUUCUUUUGUUUGUAGGUUUGUUGCUGUUACGUUCAAGUGAUGCCCUCCUCCCCAGAGCUGGAUCAGCCCAGAACUGUUUCCCACUCCUGCACUUCUCUGUUUAACGCACUAUACUGCACUUGGUGAAUGACCAGAUUUUAUGCUUUCCAGAGUAUUUAGGGCCCCGAUGUCCCGAUCCUCUGGGCUAUGGAUGCUGUGGCCGUGGAAGUGAGACAGAGUAACUGAAGAUGGAGGAGCGUUUCAUGAGAGCAAACUGAUCAAUUGUGUACCUGCAGCUUGUCUCUCCAGCUCACAACCUUUCACGAAUAAUGGAAGGAGACAAAGCUGCUGUGGGCGCCAUCCUGCUCGAACUGCAGGGGACUUGUUUGCACGGUGCUCUGCUUACUGAUGCCCUAGCACCAGGAGAACACAAAGUAAGUCACAGUCUCGUUAAGCUCCUGCUUAAUGAACGUGUUGAAGUACCUUUCUGACUGGAGGAAGAAAC